UACAUGGGGUGCAAACGUUGCUCGGAAUUAUUGGGCGUAAAGCGCGCGUAGGCGGUUACUCAAGUCGGAUGUGAAAGCCCUCGGCUUAACUGAGGAAGUGCACCCGAAACUGAGUAGCUAGAGUACUAAAGAGGGUCGCGGAAUUCCCGGUGUAGAGGUGAAAUUCGUAGAUAUCGGGAGGAACACCGGUGGCGAAGGCGGCGACCUGGGUAGAUACUGACGCUGAGGCGCGAAAGCGUGGGGAGCAAACAG
rnacentral:rRNA from 1 species